rnacentral:rRNA from 1 species
UACGGGAGGCAGCAGUGGGGAAUAUUGCACAAUGGGCGCAAGCCUGAUGCAGCCAUGCCGCGUGUAUGAAGAAGGCCUUCGAGUUGUAAAGUACUUUCAGUCGUGAGGAAGGUGUUAAGGUUAAUAACCUUAGCAAUUGACGUUAGCGACAGAAGAAGCACCGGCUAACUCCGUGCCAGCAGCCGCGGUAAUACGGAGGGUGCGAGCGUUAAUCGGAAUUACUGGGCGUAAAGGGCACGCAGGCGGUUAAUAAGUUGGAUGUGAAAUCCCCGGGCUUAACCUGGGAAUGGCAUUCAAGACUGGUUAGCUAGAGUCUUGUAGAGGGGGUAGAAUUCCAUGUGUAGCGGUGAAAUGCGUAGAGAUGUGGAGGAAUACCGGUGGCGAAGGCGGCCCCUGGGACAAAGACUGACGCUCAUGUGCGAAAGCGUGGGGAGCAAACAGGAUUAGGAUACC